rnacentral:rRNA from 1 species
GGUUAAGCGACUAAGCGUACACGGUGGAUGCCCUGGCAGUCAGAGGCGAUGAAGGGCGUGCUAAUCUGCGAUAAGCGCCGGUAAGGUGAUAUGAACCGUUAUAACCGGCGAUACCCGAAUGGGGAAACCCAGUGUGAUUCGUCACACUAUCAUUAACUGAAUCCAUAGGUUAAUGAGGCGAACCGGGGGAACUGAAACAUCUAAGUACCCCGAGGAAAAGAAAUCAACCGAGAUUCCCCCAGUAGCGGCGAGCGAACGGGGAGGAGCCCAGAGCCUGAAUCAGCAUGUGUGUUAGUGGAAGCGUCUGGAAAGGCGCGCGAUACAGGGUGACAGCCCCGUACACAAAAGCGCAUGUGCUGUGAGCUCGAUGAGUAGGGCGGGACACGUGGUAUCCUGUCUGAAUAUGGGGGGACCAUCCUCCAAGGCUAAAUACUCCUGACUGACCGAUAGUGAACCAGUACCGUGAGGGAAAGGCGAAAAGAACCCCGGCGAGGGGAGUGAAAAAGAACCUGAAACCGUGUACGUACAAGCAGUGGGAGCACAGGUUUACCUGUGUGACUGCGUACCUUUUGUAUAAUGGGUCAGCGACUUAUAUUCUGUAGCAAGGUUAACCGAAUAGGGGAGCCGGAGGGAAACCGAGUCUUAACUGGGCGUUAAGUUGCAGGGUAUAGACCCGAAACCCGGUGAUCUAGCCAUGGGCAGGUUGAAGGUUGGGUAACACUAACUGGAGGACCGAACCGACUAAUGUUGAAAAAUUAGCGGAUGACCUGUGGCUGGGGGUGAAAGGCCAAUCAAACCGGGAGAUAGCUGGUUCUCCCCGAAAGCUAUUUAGGUAGCGCCUCGUGAAUUCAUCUCCGGGGGUAGAGCACUGUUUCGGCUAGGGGGCCAUCCCGGCUUACCAACCCGAUGCAAACUGCGAAUACCGGAGAAUGUUAUCACGGGAGACACACGGCGGGUGCUAACGUCCGUCGUGAAGAGGGAAACAACCCAGACCGCCAGCUAAGGUCCCAAAGUCAUGGUUAAGUGGGAAACGAUGUGGGAAGGCCCAGACAGCCAGGAUGUUGGCUUAGAAGCAGCCAUCAUUUAAAGAAAGCGUAAUAGCUCACUGGUCGAGUCGGCCUGCGCGGAAGAUGUAACGGGGCUAAACCAUGCACCGAAGCUGCGGCAGCGACGCUUAUGCGUUGUUGGGUAGGGGAGCGUUCUGUAAGCCUGUGAAGGUGGCCUGUGAGGGUUGCUGGAGGUAUCAGAAGUGCGAAUGCUGACAUAAGUAACGAUAAAGCGGGUGAAAAGCCCGCUCGCCGGAAGACCAAGGGUUCCUGUCCAACGUUAAUCGGGGCAGGGUGAGUCGACCCCUAAGGCGAGGCCGAAAGGCGUAGUCGAUGGGAAACGGGUUAAUAUUCCCGUACUUGGUGUUACUGCGAAGGGGGGACGGAGAAGGCUAUGUUGGCCGGGCGACGGUUGUCCCGGUUUAAGCGUGUAGGUGUGUGUUCCAGGUAAAUCCGGUUCACUUUAACACUGAGGCGUGACGACGAGGCACUACGGUGCUGAAGCAACAAAUGCCCUGCUUCCAGGAAAAGCCUCUAAGCAUCAGGUAACAUCAAAUCGUACCCCAAACCGACACAGGUGGUCAGGUAGAGAAUACCAAGGCGCUUGAGAGAACUCGGGUGAAGGAACUAGGCAAAAUGGUGCCGUAACUUCGGGAGAAGGCACGCUGACACGUAGGUGAAGUGAUUUACUCAUGGAGCUGAAGUCAGUCGAAGAUACCAGCUGGCUGCAACUGUUUAUUAAAAACACAGCACUGUGCAAACACGAAAGUGGACGUAUACGGUGUGACGCCUGCCCGGUGCCGGAAGGUUAAUUGAUGGGGUCAGCGCAAGCGAAGCUCCUGAUCGAAGCCCCGGUAAACGGCGGCCGUAACUAUAACGGUCCUAAGGUAGCGAAAUUCCUUGUCGGGUAAGUUCCGACCUGCACGAAUGGCGUAAUGAUGGCCAGGCUGUCUCCACCCGAGACUCAGUGAAAUUGAACUCGCUGUGAAGAUGCAGUGUACCCGCGGCAAGACGGAAAGACCCCGUGAACCUUUACUAUAGCUUGACACUGAACAUUGAGCCUUGAUGUGUAGGAUAGGUGGGAGGCUUUGAAGCGUGGACGCCAGUCUGCAUGGAGCCAACCUUGAAAUACCACCCUUUAAUGUUUGAUGUUCUAACGUGGACCCGUUAUCCGGGUUGCGGACAGUGUCUGGUGGGUAGUUUGACUGGGGCGGUCUCCUCCUAAAGAGUAACGGAGGAGCACGAAGGUUGGCUAAUCCUGGUCGGACAUCAGGAGGUUAGUGCAAUGGCAUAAGCCAGCUUGACUGCGAGCGUGACGGCGCGAGCAGGUGCGAAAGCAGGUCAUAGUGAUCCGGUGGUUCUGAAUGGAAGGGCCAUCGCUCAACGGAUAAAAGGUACUCCGGGGAUAACAGGCUGAUACCGCCCAAGAGUUCAUAUCGACGGCGGUGUUUGGCACCUCGAUGUCGGCUCAUCACAUCCUGGGGCUGAAGUAGGUCCCAAGGGUAUGGCUGUUCGCCAUUUAAAGUGGUACGCGAGCUGGGUUUAGAACGUCGUGAGACAGUUCGGUCCCUAUCUGCCGUGGGCGCUGGAGAACUGAGGGGGGCUGCUCCUAGUACGAGAGGACCGGAGUGGACGCAUCACUGGUGUUCGGGUUGUCAUGCCAAUGGCACUGCCCGGUAGCUAAAUGCGGAAGAGAUAAGUGCUGAAAGCAUCUAAGCACGAAACUUGCCCCGAGAUGAGUUCUCCCUGAGACUUAGAGUCUCCUGAAGGAACGUUGAAGACGACGACGUUGAUAGGCCGGGUGUGUAAGCGCAGCGAUGCGUUGAGCUAACCGGUACUAAUGAACCGUGAGGCUUAACCUU